UUAUAUAAAGGAAAAUAAUUUAGCUUAACUACUUGUCAAAGAAGACCACGAUGGGCCGUGCAAUAUUAUCCAAAAGGGGUACUCAACGAGUUUGAGUACAUUGUUAAUAAUACAUAAUGGUUUGACAAAAUAACAUAAUAUCUUUAAGCAUAAUCAGUGUUCGCAGUAAAAAAAAAAUAGUAAUUCGAGUAUAUGUAUGAAGACAUAUACUCUACUCUGAGGUUCUCAUUCUAGAUUGACAAAAGCUCCGCUUGCACACUGCAUCUCCAAUCACGGCUCAACCUGCACAUUUAUAAAUACAUGCAGGGCUAAGUACGGAAGUACUUAGUGGACACUUGCCGAAAUUUACAUACAUGCAUAAUAUUUUAUUGUCAAGCCUUUCAUCAGUAGUAAGAUACGAGGGUUUUCUUUUAAAGACUCGUAUUUACUACAAAUAUCAUUUCUUUCAUAAAUAACCCGCGCAGGCAUUUUAUAUCAUUAAUCACCAUAUCAGUAACUCGUGCCGAGAGGGAGGCCUCCCUCUACGGACACUAUGAUCGGCCAACCCGCUAGGUGACUCACGAUCACAAAGGUGUACACUAAUUCCGAAGGGAUUUGCGAUCCCAUCCAGAAUCUGAAUUCGAUUAACAUCAGAUAGGCAAUUACUAAUGAAACAUAAAGCAUUUAGGCAUUGACAAUAUCAUUUAAAUUUAUAAGCAUAAAGUCUUAGAAAUUCUAAAAUAUGGUUUUAGUUUAUACGUAGAAAGCCCACCUGAUAGUAAAGACUCACGGCUAAGCUUUAACUCUUGUGCUUGACCUUUAAUCCGAGAAAAUAAAGUAAGAUUUUGAUUCGAGGGAAAUUCUCAAAUGAAUGCGAAUGCAUAAAAUAACUAUGCAUGACCCUUAUUCCAUUAAUUAUUAAUCUGAGAUAAUAAACCGAGAAAUUUCUAAUAAUAAUCCAACUAUAAGAUUAAAACUCGUUUUGCUAAUUAAUAAACUGCUCUAAUUAAUCUAUUAUGAGGAGAUAGUUAAAUCCAUUAUUACUAAAUAAAUCUUGAACUAGUCUUUAGUUGGGCUUGAAUUAAUAGAAAUGACAGCCCAAGAAUAAAGAAAUACAAGCCCCAAAAGGUGGCCCAACACACUCACUCUCCCUUAUUUUAACGGCUGGAACAGCCACCCUUCCAUUCCUCAAUUUCCUCCGCCCAAAUCAGUCGCCUCUCUUCCCAAAUCUCGCCGGUGCUGCUCCUCCUUCGGCGAGCGCCUCGUCCGUUUUUUUGCCGAGGCCGGCGCUCGUUUAUUGUCGAUGCCACAUCCUCUUUUAUUUCCUUCUCGAGUUCUCCACUCGUGAAUCGCCAAGCCGAGCCCUAGCCGUCGAAGAUCUGCUGCCGUCGCUUCUGUCGUUCCGGAGAACGACAUCUCCUCCUUUAACUCUCGGCGCUGCACUCCUUCAAUCAAUAAUUGAAAAAGGCGAAUCAUGAUGAGCCCUAGCUCCUCCAAAAAGUUGAAAUCAUCGCCGCCGUGGUUUCAAAUGGGUGACCGGCGAACGGUCACCGCCAGUGAAUGUGGCCGCCUCUCACUAUCCGCCGUCCUUCUGUCAGUCGGCGAGCACUCCUCCAUGGCUGUUGUUCAGUUAAUGGCGAGCAGGGGAGUCCGCCAUUUCCAGUGUUUCUCCGAGUUUCAAUGCCGAGGGGAGCUCCGUUGUCGCGCCGCUGCCAUGGAGAGACCGGCGAACGCCUGCUGCUCCAUACGCGAUGCCACUAUUGGCGUUUCAGAAUAUCACCGAGGCAGCAAGAGCUACCGUCGUCGUUGCCGUCUUGGCUCGACUGAACAGGGCCGAUUUCGACGCCUUCUUAAAAGCUAAGUGGAAUCAUGGAAGGAUGCAGAACAUUGAAGCCAAGCUUACCUUGAGAAUACUUGGCAGAAACGAAUUAAAGGCUCCCUUCCAUUCGUGAAGUCCUCAAAUGAAGAAUGAAGAGAAUGCAACAAUUGUUGGCUGGUUUGAAUAACAAAAAAGGUUUGGCUGGAAGCUUGUGUACAUGCGAAGAGGUACAGUCUAGGGUGGCUGAUUGACUUGUUAGGUGUACUUGGGUAUGGCUUACUGCUGCUGCAGAAAGUGGGGAUGGGACGGUGACUUGCAAAGGAAGAGGGAGUUGGCCUGCUCCAGCCGCAGAGAGGGGGAAAUAGGGGAGAGAGUUGCUGCACGUUUCUCCUCCUUUUUCUUUUUAUCCCUCUUCCUUUCUUUUCCUAAAUCUUUGGGUGUUGGCAGACAAGUUAGAGGUAGGAAGUUGUACUAUUGGAAUGAUUGUUGUGUGACUAAAUAAAAUCUUUCAGUGUUGGUCGUCC